rnacentral:rRNA from 1 species
AACGAACGCUGGCGGCAGGCCUAACACAUGCAAGUCGAGCGGGACCUUCGGGUCUAGCGGCGGACGGGUUAGUAACGCGUGGGAACGUGCCCAAAGGUACGGAAUAGCCUCGGGAAACUGAGAGUAAUACCGUAUGUGCCCCUCGGGGGAAAGAUUUAUCGCCUUUGGAUCGGCCCGCGUCGGAUUAGGUAGUUGGUGGGGUAAUGGCCUACCAAGCCGACGAUCCAUAGCUGGUUUGAGAGGAUGAUCAGCAACACUGGGACUGAGACACGGCCCAGACUCCUACGGGAGGCAGCAGUGGGGAAUCUUAGACAAUGGGGGAAACCCUGAUCUAGCCAUGCCGCGUGAGCGAUGAAGGCCUUAGGGUUGUAAAGCUCUUUCAGAUGGGAAGAUAAUGACGGUACCAUCAGAAGAAGCCCCGGCUAACUCCGUGCCAGCAGCCGCGGUAAUGUAU